rnacentral:rRNA from 1 species
GACGAACGCUGGCGGCGUGCUUAACACAUGCAAGUCGAACGAAGAGCGACGGAAGCUUGCUUCUAUCAAUCUUAGUGGCGCACGGGUGAGUAACGCGUAAUCAACCUGCCCUUCAGAGGGGGACAACAGUUGGAAACGACUGCUGAUACCGCAUACGAUCUAACCUCGGCAUCGAGGAUAGAUGAAAGGUGGCCUCUACAUGUAAGCUAUCACUGAAGGAGGGGAUUGCGUCUGAUUAGCUAGUUGGAGGGGUAACGGCCCACCAAGGCGAUGAUCAGUAGCCGGUCUGAGAGGAUGAACGGCCACAUUGGGACUGAGACACGGCCCAGACUCCUACGGGAGGCAGCAGUGGGGAAUCUUCCGCAAUGGACGAAAGUCUGACGGAGCAACGCCGCGUGAGUGAUGACGGCCUUCGGGUUGUAAAGCUCUGUUAAUCGGGACGAAAGGCCUUCUUGCGAAUAGUGAGAAGGAUUGACGGUACCGGAAUAGAAAGCCACGGCUAACUACGUG